CCUACGGGUGGCAGCAGUGGGGAAUAUUGCGCAAUGGGCGAAAGCCUGACGCAGCGACGCCGCGUGAGGGAUGAAGGUCUUCGGAUCGUAAACCUCUGUCAGCAGGGAAGAACGGUCACUGUGCUAAUCAGCAGUGAAUUGACGGUACCUGCAAAGGUAGCACCGGCUAACUCCGUGCCAGCAGCCGCGGUAAUCCGGAGGGUGCGAGCGUUAAUCGGAAUUAGUGGGCGUAAAGCUCUCGUAGGCGGUAUGUCAAGUCAAGGGUGAAAUCCCCGCGCUCAACGUGGGAACUGCCUUUGAAACUGGCAAACUGGAGUGUGUGAGAGGAUAGUGGAAUUCCAGGUGUAGGAGUGAAAUGCGUAGAUAUCUGGAGGAACAUCAGUGGCGAAGGCGACUAUCUGGCACAUAACUGACGCUGAGGAGCGAAAGCGUGGGUAGCAAACAGGAUUAGAUACCCUUGUAGUC
rnacentral:rRNA from 1 species